CCCCCCGGCGGCCUCUCUCAGCGCAUCAGCCCGUAUGCAGGAGGCCACAAGCAGCAGCAGCCGCAGAUCCCGCGAUCAACGAUCCAUCAUCCAUCGCGCAGCCGCUUUCGCAUAUGAUGGGCCGCGCCGCGGGCAACGAUAAGGAUAAGGAGAAGGCGCGCGUCGUCGUCGGCGGCGCGGCGGCCCGGCUCCCCACGGAGAAGAAGGAGCGGGGGCCGCUAAUCCGUGGGGAGACGAGGACGAAGAAGACGCGGCACGAGGCGGUGAUCAGGGAGUUCGUGCAGCAGGAGCAGUUCCGCGACCUCGCGGAGCUCUUCGGUGGCGUGGACCAACUCCUCGACCUCGUUUGCAGCGACGACGCCUACUACGACGACCACUAGCUAGCACUAGUACUAGUGACUGCUGCAUCGUGUUUCACUGUGGCGCUCAGGCCGAGGCAUGUAUGAGCUGUGUUGUCAAUAAAAAGCCGAGGCAUGUACUGGUACUCCUGAAACAAUAAUAAAGCCAAUCAUGCCUACGAUGUCGCUUGAUUAUAUCA